rnacentral:tRNA from 1 species
GGUUAUGGCUCAGCGGUACAGCAUGCGCCUCUUACAUGUGAGACCCUGGGUUCGAUCCUCAGCACCA